GGGCCAAAUACAGGAAAUACGUAAUAUGUGUGUCCCUGCAGCACAGAAGCAGUCAUCAGUUGCACAGGUAUAUUUGUAGCAAUAGACAACAAUACAUUGUAUGGGUCAAAAUUAUACAUUUCUCUUUUAUGCCAAAAAUCAUUAGGAUAUUAAGUAAAGAUCAUGUUCCAUGAAGAUAUUUAGUAAAUUUCCUACCAUAAAUAUAUCAAAACUUCAUUUUUGAUUAGUAAUAUGCAUUGCUAAGAACUUCAUUUGAACAACUUUAAAGAUGAUUUUCUCAAUAUUUAGAUUUUUUUGCUCCCUCAGAUUCCAGAUUUUCAAAUAGUUGUAUCUCAGACAAAUAUUGUCCUCCUAACAAACCACACACCAAUGGAGAGAUUAUUUAUUCAGCUUUCAGAUGAUGUAUACAUAUCAAUUUCAAAAAAAUUGACCCUUAUGACUGGUUUUGUGCUCCAGAGUCACAUAAGUAAUCCAGUGGUCAAAUACGGUGGCCAGGAGAGCUCAAUGCGAUGCAAAUAGAAAAAGCACCUGCAAAUUAAGAACACACUUGACAACACGCGCCUGCAAAUGCUCAAAACACAACCUAACACAAGGAACAUAAAAGAUGAGAUUUUGAGAAAUGGCUCUCAGUUUUGUUUUGGCAAGUCAAUGGGGUUCAAUUGUUUGGUCCCAAAUCCCAAUGUUUUUCUUUUUCCAAAUGAUGAUAGAAUGUCUUUCUGUGUGAACUAUUCCUUGAAGGAUGUAGAUGUUUCUACUGCAAAACAAGACAAAACACUGACUGGAAAAACUGAAAAAAAAAAAAAAAUCAUUUUCAUAAUCAAAAUUUUAGACUUGUUUUCCAGUAAAAGCCCAAAAACUGCAAGCAUGAUAAUUAUGAAAUUAUUUUACAUGGAGUUUAGCAAGUAUUUCAACUUCAUGGCAAUUACAUAUUUGCCAAUACAGUAACACACAUCAAUAUAUACUCUCUAAAAUACAACAGUUCUGCAUCUUAAGGUAAUUUAUCCCUUUUAAAAUGAAUAUUUGGUUAUCAUUUACUCACCUUCAAGUCGUUC
ensembl:lncRNA